ACUCUAAGCGGUGGAUCACUCGGCUCAUGGGUCGAUGAAGAACGCAGCAAACUGUGCGUCAUCGUGUGAACUGCAGGACACAUGAACAUCGACAUUUUGAACGCAUAUCGCAGUCCAUGCUGUUAUGUACUUUAAUUAAUUUUAUAGUGCUGCUUGGACUACAUAUGGUUGAGGGUUGUAAGACUAUGCUAAUUAAGUUGCUUAUAAAUUUUUAUAAGCAUAUGGUAUAUUAUUGGAUAAAUAUAAUAAUUUUUAUUCAUAAUAUUAAAAAAUAAAUGAAAAACAUUAUCUCACAUUUGAAUGUGAAAAACGAAGAGAAAUAUUUUCUUUUUCAAUCAAAUAAUACUGAGAAAUGUCUAGCAUAAAAAAUUGAAAUAUUUUUCAUCUAGAAUUGUCUCUUAUUAAUGAUUCGGAAAUAGAAAAAUCUUGGUUAUGUUAUUAUUCUUCGUUGGUUCGUUAAAAAUGGAUAAAUAAAAACUUUGCAUACAAGAAUUAAUAAAAAUGUUAUAACGAAUUUAAUUAAAUGUUUUAUCAUUAUAUAUAAAGAAUUUAUGGCAAGAUAAAGUUAUAUACAACCUCAACUCAUAUGGGACUACCCCUGAAUUUAAGCAUAUUAAUUAGGGGAGGAAAAGAAACUAACAAGGAUUUUCUUAGUAGCGGCGAGCGAAAAGAAAACAGUUCAGCACUAAGUCACUUUGUCUAUAUGGCAAAUGUGAGAUGCAGUGUAUGGAGCGUCAAUAUUCUAGUAUGAGAAAUUAACGAUUUAAGUCCUUCUUAAAUGAGGCCAUUUACCCAUAGAGGGUGCCAGGCCCGUAUAACGUUAAUGAUUACUAGAUGAUGUUUCCAAAGAGUCGUGUUGCUUGAUAGUGCAGCACUAAGUGGGUGGUAAACUCCAUCUAAAACUAAAUAUAACCAUGAGACCGAUAGUAAACAAGUACCGUGAGGGAAAGUUGAAAAGAACUCUGAAUAGAGAGUUAAACAGUACGUGAAACUGCUUAGAGGUUAAGCCCGAUGAACCUGAAUAUCCGUUAUGGAAAAUUCAUCAUUAAAAUUGUAAUAUUUAAAUAAUAUUAUGAGAAUAGUGUGCAUUUUUUCCAUAUAAGGACAUUGUAAUCUAUUAGCAUAUACCAAAUUUAUCAUAAAAUAUAACUUAUAGUUUAUUCCAAUUAAAUUGCUUGCAUUUUAACACAGAAUAAAUGUUAUUAAUUUGAUAAAGUGCUGAUAGAUUUAUAUGAUUACAGUGCGUUAAUUUUUCGGAAUUAUAUAAUGGCAUAAUUAUCAUUGAUUUUUGUGUUUAUUAUAUGCACUUGUAUGAUUAACAAUGCGAAAGAUUCAGGAUACCUUCGGGACCCGUCUUGAAACACGGACCAAGGAGUCUAACAUAUGUGCAAGUUAUUGGGAUAUAAACCUAAUAGCGUAAUUAACUUGACUAAUAAUGGGAUUAGUUUUUUAGCUAUUUAUAGCUAAUUAACACAAUCCCGGGGCGUUCUAUAUAGUUAUGUAUAAUGUAUAUUUAUAUUAUUUAUGCCUCUAACUGGAACGUACCUUGAGCAUAUAUGCUGUGACCCGAAAGAUGGUGAACUAUACUUGAUCAGGUUGAAGUCAGGGGAAACCCUGAUGGAAGACCGAAACAGUUCUGACGUGCAAAUCGAUUGUCAGAAUUGAGUAUAGGGGCGAAAGACCAAUCGAACCAUCUAGUAGCUGGUUCCUUCCGAAGUUUCCCUCAGGAUAGCUGGUGCAUUUUAAUAUUAUAUAAAAUAAUCUUAUCUGGUAAAGCGAAUGAUUAGAGGCCUUAGGGUCGAAACGAUCUUAACCUAUUCUCAAACUUUAAAUGGGUAAGAACCUUAACUUUCUUGAUAUGAAGUUCAAGGUUAUGAUAUAAUGUGCCCAGUGGGCCACUUUUGGUAAGCAGAACUGGCGCUGUGGGAUGAACCAAACGUAAUGUUACGGUGCCCAAAUUAACAACUCAUGCAGAUACCAUGAAAGGCGUUGGUUGCUUAAAACAGCAGGACGGUGAUCAUGGAAGUCGAAAUCCGCUAAGGAGUGUGUAACAACUCACCUGCCGAAGCAACUAGCCCUUAAAAUGGAUGGCGCUUAAGUUGUAUACCUAUACAUUACCGCUAAAGUAGAUGAUUUAUAUUACUUGUGAUAUAAAUUUUGAAACUUUAGUGAGUAGGAAGGUACAAUGGUAUGCGUAGAAGUGUUUGGCGUAAGCCUGCAUGGAGCUGCCAUUGGUACAGAUCUUGGUGGUAGUAGCAAAUAAUCGAAUGAGACCUUGGAGGACUGAAGUGGAGAAGGGUUUCGUGUGAACAGUGGUUGAUCACGAGUUAGUCGGUCCUAAGUUCAAGGCGAAAGCCGAAAAUUUUCAAGUAAAACAAAAAUGCCUAACUAUAUAAACAAAGCGAAUUAUAAUACACUUGAAUAAUUUUGAACGAAAGGGAAUACGGUUCCAAUUCCGUAACCUGUUGAGUAUCCGUUUGUUAUUAAAUAUGGGCCUCGUGCUCAUCCUGGCAACAGGAACGACCAUAAAGAAGCCGUCGAGAGAUAUCGGAAGAGUUUUCUUUUCUGUUUUAUAGCCGUACUACCAUGGAAGUCUUUCGCAGAGAGAUAUGGUAGAUGGGCUAGAAGAGCAUGACAUAUACUGUUGUGUCGAUAUUUUCUCCUCGGACCUUGAAAAUUUAUGGUGGGGACACGCAAACUUCUCAACAGGCCGUACCAAUAUCCGCAGCUGGUCUCCAAGGUGAAGAGUCUCUAGUCGAUAGAAUAAUGUAGGUAAGGGAAG
rnacentral:rRNA from 1 species